ACACGUACCAUCGUGCAGCUGAAACACAAACAUCUGCCGUUCACUUGUGUGAACCUCUGUGAUGGCAUCGUUGCAGGAUGUGCCCCGUGCCCACCAGAGGGAGUAUGAGAAACACGUGGAGAGCGUUGACAGUCCAAAGAUAACUGCCCAGGAAUGAGAGAAGCCUUCAGAUGCUGCUAUGAAUUACAGGCAAAAAUGAGAUUUCUUAUUUGGAAUUGAUGAUGAGAGAUGACCAGUUAUGAGUCAAUUCUAUCAGAAACUUGAGUGUCACAGGAAACAAAGGAGGAACAGACCACCCCUCACAGUAACCUAAAAUGAUUAAGCUGAAAUACAUAACUGAGCUCGAAUCUGCUGUACGUGCACUUCUCCAGCAGCGAGCCGUGUCGGUACUGAAGCGAAGGCAAGAUGAGCUGGAAACGGAAUCUACUUAUAUGCAGCGUCUGACAACUGGGAAUGGCAAACCAAGUAAUGAUGGACUGGAGAGUGAUGAAA